rnacentral:rRNA from 1 species
AGAGUUUGAUCAUGGCUCAGAUUGAACGCUGGCGGCAGGCCUAACACAUGCAAGUCGAGCGGUAGCACAGGAGAGCUUGCUCUCUGGGUGACGAGCGGCGGACGGGUGAGUAAUGUCUGGGAAACUGCCUGAUGGAGGGGGAUAACUACUGGAAACGGUAGCUAAUACCGCAUAACGUCUUGGGACCAAAGUGGGGGACCUUCGGGCCUCACGCCAUCAGAUGUGCCCAGAUGGGAUUAGCUAGUAGGUGGGGUAAUGGCUCACCUAGGCGACGAUCCCUAGCUGGUCUGAGAGGAUGACCAGCCACACUGGAACUGAGACACGGUCCAGACUCCUACGGGAGGCAGCAGUGGGGAAUAUUGCACAAUGGGCGCAAGCCUGAUGCAGCCAUGCCGCGUGUGUGAAGAAGGCCUUCGGGUUGUAAAGCACUUUCAGCGAGGAGGAAGGGCAGUGUGUUAAUAGCACAUUGCAUUGACAUUACUCGCAGAAGAAGCACCGGCUAACUCCGUGCCAGCAGCCGCGGUAAUACGGAGGGUGCAAGCGUUAAUCGGAAUUACUGGGCGUAAAGCGCACGCAGGCGGUUUGUUAAGUCAGAUGUGAAAUCCCCGCGCUUAACGUGGGAACUGCAUUUGAAACUGGCAAGCUAGAGUCUUGUAGAGGGGGGUAGAAUUCCAGGUGUAGCGGCGAAAUGCGUAGAGAUCUGGAGGAAUACCGGUGGCGAAGGCGGCCCCCUGGACAAAGACUGACGCUCAGGUGCGAAAGCGUGGGGAGCAAACAGGAUUAGAUACCCCGGUAGUCC